rnacentral:lncRNA from 1 species
CUGGCACUGGUCUCUGGUUCCCUCCAUAUUUAUUGAUCACUAUCUUUACUAUCUCUGCGAGGGGAGUGUGGCGGGGCUAUAGGGUGAAGGUGGGGAGAGGGUCAGCAGAGGAACAUGUGAGCAAAGACUCUGUCAUAAAUAAGUUUAAGAAAAGGUGCUGUGCCUGGAUGUGCACAAUCGCUAGAUUUAUGUUUAAGCUUACAUAAACAACUCAGUGCAGUAAAGAGUAACAGAGCAGUAUUGCCGCCAUGAUGUCUCACCUCCAGCCAUAAGGUGGUUUUCUCCUGUCUCAGAAUAGAAUAUAUGGUCGGUUUUAUGCUGAGACAUCCAAUCCCAGGGACGUGCAGGAGACAGAUGCCACGCUCUUAUCUCAACCGCAUAGAGGCCUUCCUCUUUCACUAAUCCUCCUUAGCACAGACCCUUUACGGGUGUAGGGCUGGGGGGCUGUAAGUUCUUUCCCUUCCCAUGAGGCCAUAUCUCAGGCUGUCUCAGUCGGGGGAAACCUGGACAAUACCCAGGCUUUCUUGGGCAGGGGUCCCUGCAGACUUCCACAGUGCAUUGUGUCCCUGGUUAACAGAGAAUGGAGAAUGGCGAUGACUUUCACCAAUAUACUGCCUGCAAACACAUUUUUAACAAAGCACAUCCUGCACAGCCCUCCCUUAAACCUUGAGUCAAUACAGCACAUGUUUUUGCGAGCACAGGGUUGGGACAAGAGUUACAGAUUAACAGCAUCUCAAAGCAGAACAAUUUUUCUUAGUACAGAUCAAAAUGGAGUUUCUUUUGUCUUCCUUUUCCUAGAUAGACACAGUAACAAUCUGAUCUCUUUUUCUUUUCCUCACACUUCCCCCUUUUCUUUUGACAAAACCGCCAUCUUCAUUAUGGCCUGUUCUUGAGGGUUGGGACAAGAGUUACAGAUUAACA